rnacentral:rRNA from 1 species
UACAGAGGGUGCAAGCGUUAAUCGGAAUUACUGGGCGUAAAGCGCGCGUAGGCGGCUGAUUAAGUCGGGUGUGAAAGCCCCGGGCUCAACCUGGGAAUGGCAUUUGGGACUGCAAGGCUUGAGUGCGGCAGAGGAGACUGGAAUUCCUGGUGUAGCAGUGAAAUGCGUAGAUAUCAGGAGGAACACCGAUGGCGAAGGCAGGUCUCUGGGCUGACACUGACGCUCAUGCACGAAAGCGUGGGGAGCAAACAGG